rnacentral:lncRNA from 1 species
GUGUUCACAGAGUUAGUCUUUUAAGUAAAAUAAAGUAUAUUUGCUUCGCGUUGUGUUAUUUAAGGUAGUAAAACUUGCACCAAAAAGGGGUGACUAACUCUGGCGAACUGCACCGAAAUGGUGUCUAACUCUCGAGUAUUUGGAGGCCUGUGCAAGGCCGACUCCGACUGAAUAUCAAAUGAUAUCCUAAACUUGUAUUAAUCAGGAGAACUUUA